AUCCAGCUGACGAGUCCAGUAUAAGAGGAAACGCGCGUCUUGGAU
rnacentral:hammerhead_ribozyme from 1 species